UACAGAGGUCCCAAGCGUUGUUCGGAUUCACUGGGCGUAAAGGGUGCGUAGGUGGUGAGGUAAGUCGGAUGUGAAAUCUCGGAGCUCAACUCCGAAAUGGCAUUGGAAACUACCUUGCUAGAGGGUUGGAGGGGGGACUGGAAUACUUGGUGUAGCAGUGAAAUGCGUAGAUAUCAAGUGGAACACCAGUGGCGAAGGCGAGUCCCUGGACAACUCCUGACACUGAGGCACGAAAGCUAGGGGAGCAAACAGG
rnacentral:rRNA from 1 species